rnacentral:rRNA from 1 species
GACAGAGGUGCCAAGCGUUAGGCGGAAUCACUGGGCUUAAAGCGUGUGUAGGCGGAUCGUUAAGUACCUUGUGAAAUCCCACGGCUUAACCGUGGAACUGCUUGGUAUACUGGCGGUCUUGAGCCACUUAGGGGCUACCGGAACAAAUGGUGGAGCGGUGAAAUGCGUAGAUAUCAUUUGGAACGCCAAUGGUGAAAACAGGUAGCUGGGAGUGUGCCGACGCUGAGACACGAAAGCCAGGGGAGCAAACGGG